rnacentral:lncRNA from 1 species
UUUUUCUUUUUCUUUUUGCCUUUUCUUGGGCCAGCCUACAGCCUAGGCCAGAGCCAAAAAAUAAAUAAAUAAAAUAAAAAUAGAACAUUGAGAUUAACACAUACACACAGGAAUGCAAAAGCAAAAACACUGAAGUCAUUCUCUAUUAAUAUUAUGCUACCUCAGAAUCUGCAAAACUCCACUGUUUGACUGAUACAUUUAAAGGAUUAUGAUGAAAUGGGAAUGGGUUUAAAAUUAUAGAAGUCAGCUUAAGAAUCUGGAACUUGGUUUAGUUGACCUAUAAACAUCAAGCUACAUUACAGAAGUUGUGAUGUUCUCUAAAAAACUUUGGAAAAGUCCUUCAUCAAAAAUGAACAGUAAAAAAUAUAAGGCAAGAAAAGUGAGAAACUCAAUGGCUAUUUCCUAAUUCCUAGGGAGAGAAAGAGCAUAUGUAUCAGUAGCCAUCUAGGUCAAGAUGACCAUACUCUGAGACCAGACAGAGGAUCUCUGAGUUCCUCUUGCAUUAAAGCCUGACUUACUGUAAGAAUGUGUAUGGGAUAAAAAUUAUUUCACUAACUCCAAUAUUAAUUUAUUAUCCACUCAACAACUUAAGUAUUGUCACAAAUCAUGAAAGGCCAUUAUGAACACAUAGGCAAGAGAUCUUGCUCUACACUAAGGAAUACCGUCCAUUAGAAUUUUCUGCAAUGUUGCAAAUCUAACAGAGUUAGAUAUCCAAUAUGGUAGCCAUUAGCACAGGUAGUUAUGGAGAACAUGUGAUAUAGCUACUGUGAUUGAAGAACUGAAGAUUUUAUAUUUUAAUUGCUUUAAACUUAAAUAGUCACAUGUGACUAAUAACUACAUUAGCCAGGAACACUGUAGAGAGUAAACAAAGUAUGUGGACAAGUAAUCAACUGUUAUCUAUGAAAACAUGCGUCAGUCUGCACAGGGAAAAACAAAAAAUCUUAUUCUUCUUUGAUCUAUUUAGUUCCAUCACCACCACUUUUUUGGGUCUCUAAGGUCACCUGUUGGGUUUCUGAAAGUUGGUAAAUACAAAGCUAGGGUAGAAAAUCUCAUUAAAUCAGAAUAUUGCAGGUGGUAGAAAACAUUUAAACAUGGCCACUUAUGUAAGCACCCCAUGUUUGUAAAGGGGUCACAUAUUACAUUAUGCAGCCCACUCAUGUGGAGAUAGCAACCAAGUUUACCAAAACUGUGAAUAACAACAGAUAUGUAGCUUAGAGAGAGAAGUAUAAACUUGACUUAAUGGGAGUUUUCAGACCAAUGGGAGAGUUCUUUUAAGAAUCAACUGUUCUUAGCUUUAGGCUUAUAGUCCAAAAAAAAAAAAAAUAGAUGAAAGUUCUAUCAAGAAAAUACAGAUCUUAUGCAAAGAGCUUUCUUCAAACUUCAACAUUAGGCAAUAGAAUGGGUUUGCAAAGAACGACUAUGCAAUCUCUAACUCAGGAAACUGUCAUAUAUGCCAUGUGGCUUAACUCACUGGUGUCAUUCACUAUAUACUAUUUCUAGAAUUAUGUGUUUUAUUUCAGCUGAUUAAGUUUAGCUGAGUUUCUUACAUAACGGUCUUGCUGUUUCUUUUCCAGACUUUCAACUCCCACAUAGUCUAGUGUGGAAGUAUAAUUAUUUCCUUAAAAGUAAAUGCUCCGUUAAGGUUAAUAUGUUCAGUUAAAGUUAAUAAGCUCUUGUAUAUGUUAUUAUUAAGGUCACUGUCUAGUUGUAAAAGGUAACAAUGUAGUUGGCACUGUAUUGAGGUACCAACGAUGCAAUUCUUAACCUGAGGGCAUAAAUCUAAAAUUUAGCCGAAUGAAAGGUAACAAGAUAGCUACAAUUUGAUUAUUCAGAACUUUUAUUGGUAGCUAAGCUCUAGGGAGAAAAUGAGUUUUUAGAAGAAUUAUGGAAGAGUAUGCAAUGACAUUAAUUUCAAUUUUUAAAAAUUAGGGAACAUAAAAGAAAUAAGAAAACAAAUUGAUAUAUUGGGCAAUAAUUCUGAGAGAGUAAUAAACUUGGAAUGUAUUCAUUAGCAGUCAACAAUAUGUUUAGGGGAUUAAUUAUUAAUGAUGUUGCAGAGAGUCAAAUCCUGCUAUGGGCUGUAAUUAUUAAAUGUGGUUUUGAUGAGCAACAAUUAUGUGAGCACAACAUUCCUUUUCAGAGUUUGUUCUGUUUUGUCUUAGGCUUUCAUUAUUCACGGUUUGCUGCAAAUAAGAACUGUAAUAUGAUACUACAGAUGCAAAACCUUGGGGUGGUCCCCUGUGCCACCAGAUUUCUACCAACACUUACUCUCUACUCUCAGCAAUCAGAGAAUCUUUAAGAAAUGUUUUUACCCUAUAACAUCACCGCCAACCCAGGGAACAAGCAAAAUGGAAGCAUCAAAAUGAGGUAAUGCAGGAGGAAGAGAAAGAGUUUCAGGUGGUUAACAAAAGGAUGAUGGAUUUGAGGGCAGCAGGUGAUGAAAGAUUAAAAAACCUGAGACAAAGAAAGAGUUAGGAGGGUUGAGACUUCAGGAACCCUGCUUUCCUGUCUCCAGUUCUUAAUCUGGCUGAAGGUAUGGGCAGCCAUGAUUGUUAGGACUUGUAACAGAUGACAACCUGCAGUCAACAGAUCAUCAACUACCUCCUACCACCAGUGUGACAAAGACCACAAGAAGGUCUGGGCUGAAAAUCAGAUCACCCAGCCUCUAGAUAGCUGGUAAGGCUGCCAUUAUCAGAUUUGCACUAGGGCUGCUGGACACUUUUUAUGGCAGAUGCCACUGGGUAGGAACAUGGGUUCUGGAGUCAGACUGCCUUGGUUCAAGCUUCACACCACUAACCAGCUGUGUGAACUUAGCAGGUUAAUUAUGCUCAGUUAGGCCUGGGUUCCCCCAACUGUGAAUGAGGACACAAUGAUACUGACCUGAUAGCCCGCCCGGGAAGACUGAAGAAGAUCAUGUUCAGGAGAACUACAGAAGAGUGCCUGGCUUAUAAUAAGCACUCAAAAAUAUUACUUAGGAUUAUUUGUAGCUUUCCUACUGUGUUAUAAUAUAGUUUAACUAUAUUUUCAUAACAAACAAAAUUAUUGAUAUUUAACAGCUACUUAACAGAUAGACAUGGUGGUUUUAGUGGCUGGGAAUCUCAUUAAAUAGGUUCCUAAUAGUCAGCUGAUAUUUAGUGAGCAUAUUAGUGGCCUUAUUGCUUUUAAAUUAAGCUCUUAUUUCAACCAUUUAAUUUCUGUUUAUAACAUACUUCCAGCCUUUUUACAAAAAAAGAAAAAACAUAUAAAACUUCUCUUAUAAAAGAAUAAUGAUAUCUAUUGACCUGUUUUCUUCCUUGUUUUUAUUGACUACUUAAAUCCUUAGAAGCAUUUGGGCAAAGAUACUUUGAGCUGUUCAAUCCUGCUAGGUCGUAUGCUGUUGUGAAAUUAUUUUCUGCCCAACCACAAAUACAAUAUACUUGUAUAACUUCCUCUUUUACAUUUCCAGUUUCUGAUUCACAGACAAUCACAUGCAGAUUCUCUUUAUUUGGCAACACAACCUCUAUCUUUAUGUUCUUCUUUCUUUUCCCGGAUGUCUUUUCCCAUUGUGAUGACUUCAAUCCCAUCAUUUCUAUACCUGUCUACUUGCAAUAUCAAUAUUAUCUUAAUACUGUGUUUAUCUGUACUUUCUUCUACCCCAUACAUCCUGUCAGUAUAAACUUUUUCCCCUAGAUUGACUAACCAGCCUGGUUUAAUGUACUGUUUCUUUGUCCGUCUUCGGUUGAAUAUUACACAUUUAUCAGGCACUGAAUAAAAUGCAUGGCUUGUGCCAAAGUAAUAAAGGAUCAUUUUCUACUAGAAAAAGACACAUGUACUAAUCAUACAGCCAAGAGCAAGCUGACCCUGCUUGAGAUCUUGCAGCAAAGUGCAGAAACUCACAAAAGCUCUCACAAAAGAAUCAACAAUAAACAUCUAUUAGGUUGUCAGCUGUAAACACCUGCCAAGAUGCUGCAUCACCGCAUGAGGAGCCGUGAAAUAAUGUCCUGUCUUUUUUUACCUCUUCUUCUUCUUCACUCCCAACCCUUGAAGAGUCAGAAACUUCUAUGGGUGAGUCAGAGAAGAAAGGAGAAGAAGAUUAGGUAAUAAAUCUCUCCAACCCCGACUUCAAAUCCAGGCUUCCCUCUGAGCUGCUAGACAGGAAGAAGCCUCAACAUUAACACCAAACAAAAGUUUUUAUUAUGACAUGCAACUGACAGUAAAAUUGCUAAACUCAGACAGUUGUCUAUGAUCUGAAGUUACCAGAAACCCAUAUUUCCCAAGAGUUAUGAGAAAAGCCAUGGAGCCUGCCUAACUUUUCGUACAGGGAUGGGAAAGUCUCAUUCCACAGACCAUGUUUAAAAGGAUAGAGGGAGGCCAAGUCAAGACUGCUUUCUGGCUGGAGGAUGCAAGUCAUAGCAGUUCAAUGUGGCAGUUGCUUUUUAAGAGAAAAUGGUGGACUUCCCAGUGUGGCUUAGUGAUAAUGAACCUGACUAGUAACCAUGAGGACUCAGGUUUGAUCCCUUGCCCUGUUCAAUGGGUUAAGGAUCAGGUGUCACUGCGAGUUGUGGUGCAGGUCACAAACCAGACUCAGCUUGGAUCUGGCGUUGCUGUGGCUGUGGUGUAGGGCUGUGGCUGCAACUCAAAUUCAACCCUUAAGCUUGAGGACUUCCAUAUGCCGCACUACAGAGCUUAAAAAAGAAAAAAAAAGAGAGAGAAUGGUGAUACCAGGGGCCAAAAUUGCUUCCCCAGGAAAGGAGAUGCAAAGGAGAGGGGCAGAGCGUAACUCAGCAAAUUGUCUUGAAACAGGGAAGCCAUCCUGAAAAGGAACCAUGUCAGUUGUCACCACUGGGUCAAGGACUGCUAGUCACUCCUUCAUGUCUGAUCUAUACCUAGGGACAUAGAAAGUCACCAGACUUCAAAUAGCUCCAUUUUCCUGAGCUGCUGAGAAGGAAUCAUCUAACAUGCCUCUCCCUUGCCUUCCAGGAAGGUAAAGAUUCUCGUGAAGAAUUAUUAUAAUUAUCCUUUUAAAUAAUAACUUAGGCAUUAAUGGAAACAUUAGUCUUCUGCAUGAUAAUAUUGCCAUCACUUAAAGACACAACUUAUGACAGCAAAACCGCCCAGAGAAGAGGCUCUAAAUCAAUGCAAAAUAACAAAAGGAUAGAAAACAUAUCCCUGGAGACAUACCAAGAACUGCACAUUGUUUUGCAUUUAUUAAAAUGCAGAUGUAAGCAUGAGGCAUAAAAUUACAAUAUUAAACCAAGAACUUAAAUU